CGAGUGAAGCGGCUACAGCUCAAAUUUGAAAUCUGGCCUCCUUUGGUGGUCCGAGUUGUAAUUUGCAGAGGAUGCUUUGGCAUUGGCGGCGGUCUAAGUUCCUUGGAACAGGACAUCGCAGAGGGUGAGAAUCCCGUACGUGGGCGCCUGCCUUUGCCGUGUAAAGCUCCUUCGACGAGUCGAGUUGUUUGGGAAUGCAGCUCUAAAUGGGAGGUAAAUUUCUCCUAAAGCUAAAUACCGGCCAGAGACCGAUAGCGCACAAGUAGAGUGAUCGAAAGAUGAAAAGUACUUUGGAAAGAGAGUCAAAUAGCACGUGAAAUUGUUGAAAGGGAAGCGCUUGCAGCCAGACUUGCCCGCAGUUGCUCACCUAGGCUUUUGCCUGGGGCACUCUUCUGCGGGCAGGCCAGCAUCAGUUUGGGCGGUCGGAUAAAGGUCUCUGUCAUGUACCACCCUUCGGGGUGGCCUUAUAGGGGAGACGCAAUGCGACCAGCCCGGACUGAGGUCCGCGCAUCUGCUAGGAUGCUGGCGUAAUGGCUGUAAGCGGCCCGUCUUGAAACACGGACCAAGGAGUCUAACAUCUAUGCGAGUGUUUGGGUGUCAAGCCCGGGCGCGUAAUGAAAGUGAACGGAGGUGGGAACCUUUCGGGGUGCACCAUCGACCGAUCCUGAUGUCUUCGGAUGGAUUUGAGUAAGAGCAUAGCUGUUGGGACCCGAAAGAUGGUGAACUAUGCUUGAAUAGGGUGAAGCCAGAGGAAACUCUGGUGGAGGCUCGCAGCGGUUCUGACGUGCAAAUCGAUCGUCAAAUUUGGGCAUAGGGGCGAA
rnacentral:rRNA from 1 species